rnacentral:rRNA from 1 species
AUUGAACGCUGGCGGCAGGCUUAACACAUGCAAGUCGAGCGGAGAUGAGGUGCUUGCACCUUAUCUUAGCGGCGGACGGGUGAGUAAUGCUUAGGAAUCUGCCUAUUAGUGGGGGACAACAUUCCGAAAGGAAUGCUAAUACCGCAUACGUCCUACGGGAGAAAGCAGGGGAUCUUCGGACCUUGCGCUAAUAGAUGAGCCUAAGUCGGAUUAGCUAGUUGGUGGGGUAAAGGCCUACCAAGGCGACGAUCUGUAGCGGGUCUGAGAGGAUGAUCCGGCACACUGGGACGGAGAACCGGCCCAGACUCCUGCGGGAGGCAGCAGGGGGGAAUAUUGGACGAUGGGGGAAACCCUGAUCUAGCCAUGCCGGGUGUGUGAAGAAGGCCUUAUGGUUGUAAAGCACUUUAAGCGAGGAGGAGGCUACUGAGACUAAUACUCUUGGAUAGUGGACGUUACUCGCAGAAUAAGCACCGGCUAACUCUGUGCCAGCCGCCGCAGUAAUAC